ensembl:misc_RNA Metazoa_SRP Metazoan signal recognition particle RNA
GCUGGACGCAGUGGCGUGUGCCUGUAGUACCAGCUACUCAGGAGGCUGAGGCUGGAGAUCGCUCAAGCCCAGGAGUUCUGGGCUGUAUUGCGCUAUGCCGAUCAGGUGUUCACACCAAGUCUGGCAUCAAUAUGGUGAACUCCCAGGAGCGGGGGACCACCAGGUUGCCUAAGGAGGGGUGAACCGGCCCAGGCUGGAAACAGAGCAGGUCAAAACUCCCAUGCUGAUCAGUAGUGGGAUUGCGCCUGUGAAUAGCCACUGCACUCCAGACUGGGCAACAUAGCGAGACCCUGUCUCUU